GACGAACGCUGGCGGCGUGCUUAACACAUGCAAGUCGAGCGGUAAGGCCCUUUCGGGGUACGACGAGCGGCGAACGGGUAGAGUAACACGUGGGUGACCUGCCCUCCAGCUCUGGGAGUAAGCCUGGGAAACCGGGUACUAAUACCGGAUAUGACUCCAUGACGCAUGUUGUGGGGUGGAAAGCCUUGUGCGGCUGAGGAUGGGCCCGCGGCCUAUCAGCUUGUUGGUGGGGUGAUGGCCUACCAAGGCGACGACGGGUAGCCGGCCUGAGAGGGCGACCGGCCACACUGGGACUGAGACACGGCCCAGACUCCUACGGGAGGCAGCAGUGGGGAAUCUUGCGCAAUGGGCGAAAGCCUGACGCAGCGACGCCGCGUGAGGGAUGACGGCCUC
rnacentral:rRNA from 1 species